CUGCAGUCAGGAAAGGCACAGAGAGGGAUAAUAUGGUAUUUCUCUGAGCUUUUGGACUGCCUUGCGGUCUCCAAGCAAGAACGCAGUGGAUUUCUUGUAAAUAUUUAAAGGAGAAGUCUGACUGUCCCUGUGCAGUGCUGUGCUGUAAAGCAGUAGGAAGGCGGCUGCCCAUGUGUUUUCACAGGGGAUGGCAUCACUCGCUGGGUGUGCAGCAAGGUGCAAGACACCAGGAGAAAAUGGGACGGGUAUUUCUUCCUCGUCUCCUCGGGCCCACGCUGCAGUACUGAUGGAUUUCACUGUGACCAAUGGAGUUGUGCCACGCUUCAGUGCAAGAGCAACUGUCCCUUUGCCUGGAGGGCUCCACAGGUAAUCCCACUGCUCUGCUGUCCCCAGAGCAGCAUUUGCUCUCAUCUCACGUGCAGGAAUUUAAGAGUUCUGUUGAUAUGGAUGUUCAUUGCUGCACACCCAGGAUCCUCGUUUCCCUGGCUGCUCCCAACCUGAUGCCACCUGCAAACAUGACAAGAAUGCUUUCUCCAGGUUAUCGCUGCUGCCCGUGACAAAGUUGUGAAUGCAGAGGAAGGCUUCCCUCACAGCUUCAAAGAACAGAACUUCAUCAAAGCAUGGCCGUAAUUUAAAGUCUCUCCUGAACGGUAAUUAUCCCCAUAAACGAGCUGUGAUGGUUUGAAAACAUCUGUUUCCUUUUGGAGUCAGUGUACAUCUGCCCUUAAACAAGGUGAAAAUGCAGUGUGAUAACUCUGAGGACUGAAUUGCUGGGGUUUUUUGGGCUUGUUUUUUUUUCUGUAAUGCUGUGUUCCCUGCAAUUAGGUAACAGCUUUGAAUAUGAUUACUGCGUUUUUAUGUAUCAGUGCAUAUAUUAUUAGAACGUUUGCUUCCUUAAUCUCUCUGCUUUAUCUGAUAUUUUAGGCAUUAAACAAAUCAUAGGAUUGAUAU
rnacentral:lncRNA from 7 species